rnacentral:rRNA from 1 species
GACGUUGGAUGCGAGCGUUAUUCGGAUUUAUUGGGCGUAAAGCGUGCGUAGGCGGCUGUUUAAGUCUGGUGUUAAAGCUAGGGGCUCAACCCCUGUGGUGCAUCGGAUACUGGGCAGCUUGAGUGCGGUAGGGGAAGGUGGAAUUCCGAGUGUAGCGGUGAAAUGCGUAGAUAUUCGGAAGAACACCGGUGGCGAAGGCGACCUUCUGGGCCGCAACUGACGCUGAGGCACGAAAGCCUGGGGAGCGAACGGG